UCACUAAUAUCCUAAUGGUCAAAUAGGCUGACUUUCAUCCAGUAGGUUGUAAGUUCAAAUUUUACUUUGUAUA
rnacentral:tRNA from 1 species